rnacentral:rRNA from 1 species
UACGUAGGAUGCAAGCGUUGUCCGGAUUUAUUGGGUUUAAAGGGGGACUCGGCGGACUAUUAAGUUAGUGGUGAAAACGUUCGGCUUAACCGGAUACCCGCCAUUGAUACUGAUAGACUUGAGUGCGACAGAGGGUGUUGGAAUGUGUGGUGUAGCGGUGAAAUGCUUAGAUAUCACGCAGAACACCAAUUGCGAAGGCAGAUGCCUAUGUCGUAACUGACGCUGAGGCACGAAAGCGUGGGGAGCAAACAGG